AAAAAUUAAAACCCAAUUUAUUACCUAGGAGCCACACUUUCUAGUCAUCUUAACCAUCUGGAACUUAAAAGUAAAAAGAAAAAAAUCUAUGGGGAAAAUGACUGUCAUAAAGCCCACACACUUGACUCUUUAGGAGACGUGGAUCCACCCUCAAGCCAUGAUUCAGACAAUCGGGCAUAAAAUAAUGCAGGGAAUGACAGCAGCUAGGACACCCGACAGCUAUCAAGUGACAGCCAACAGCAGCAGAAGGAGCCAGAGUGUAGAAAUGCAGCCUGGCUCUGCAGUACAGCAGUCUAAAGGCAUUUCACUUGGGGGCCACUGUCCCAAGCACCUAGCAUCCCCAGGAGACACUCUCUCAUCACUUAGUGCAAUGGCUGAUGUUCCAGGGAGUCUUCAGGAGAAUAAAUAUAAUGUCUAAGACACUCGGUGUAUAAGCAAAAAGACACAGUCAAAGAUCCCAGAAAUGUGUGCCUGCCAGAGUGAAAAAUUAAAACUGUUUCAGCAGUACAUAAACUUCCCUAAAACGGAAAAGAUGUGUCACCCCAUGACUGCUUUGCAUAACUAAGGUGUCAGUGAUACAUGCUUUCAUCAGGUACAGGUUAGAACCAAUUAUUUGUGUUUAAACUUCUCCUCUCAAGAAGUCUUCACACCUCCUACCAAGGUCUUAUAAGUGAAUCCCAAAACAAACUUCAGAGCACCACUAUAAAUUCUUAUACAAAUGACCUAAGUAAGAAAUUAUUUAGUCCCGAUCUCUCCUUACCAAGCUGGAGAAACAUGCAACCUAAAGCCAAUUUACAAUGCAGGACGGCAGGGGCACAGCCAGCCAGGUGCACACAGAGGAUACAGCAAGGUGAUAAAGACGAAACUAUGAUCAUUUGCAGAUUCAAAUAAAGGGAAUUUCCAAGAGCAGAAAAAAUUCUAACCCAUUGCUAGGUUCACAGCUAAGACCUCCAUAUGACACUAAUUGGUACAAGAACGAGGAAGCCUCCGUGAAAGCCAAGCUAGAAAAGCAGAGCAUGGUAUAUUCUAAAGCAGUGCUGUACCUUCAUUAGCAUAACAUAAUAAAUAAGUUAUGUGCCUUGGAAUGAAGAAUGUGCUUGGAGAGGGUGAGAAAGGAAUAUCCCUUCCAUGGUGAAUUUCCAUAUCUCAUUCACACUACAUCCCACUGCCAGGUUGACUAAAACCGAACAGAGAAUUGCCACUGUUAAGAAAAGAGAAAGGCCAAGAGAAGAAAAAUCAGAGAGCUCAUGAUGAAAAACCAAAGUGUGUAAAAAGACAGUGGAAGAGGUAAGGUAUUGCCUUUCAUCACAGGUUUUAAACAUGGACUCCAGAAAGCAAUUGCUAAUAUGGAGGAUGAAUUCCCUAAAACCCAAAGGAAGAUGCAUCAGCACAUUGGCAGGAGCACUGGUACUCUUCAUGAAGACUGAUUUUUUUUCUAAACUGAUGCUAUACAUGAGAAUAAAAAGUUGAAGUCUGAAGUUCUUCAAACAGCAUGUGGCAGGUAACCCCUGGCAGCGAUCUUCUGUCCCAGAGCUUUCUACACUGUUGCCCUCUCUUCACCAGAGACAGCUACAAGGCUGGGGCAAGGUGUGGACUUCACUUUUCCAGAUGAUGGCAAGCAGCCAGGAACUGUCAAGGGGAAGGAAAGAACUCCAAGAUCACCCAGCAAAACAGGAAACUGAAGGGGGAUGAGAAACCACAUUGCAUCUCAGAAUCUCGCCACUUAAGCUGUAUCUUUCCAGAUGCACUAUAUUUCACCU
rnacentral:lncRNA from 10 species